rnacentral:rRNA from 1 species
CCUACGGGAGGCUGCAGUGGGGAAUAUUGGACAAUGGACGCGAGUCUGAACCAGCCAAGUAGCGUGAAGGAUGACUGCCCUACGGGUUGUAAACUUCUUUUAUAUGGGAAUAAAGUGAUGCACGUGUGCCUUUUUGUAUGUACUUUAUGAAUAAGGAUCGGCUAACUCCGUGCCAGCAGCCGCGGUAAUACGGAGGAUCCGAGCGUUAUCCGGAUUUAUUGGGUUUAAAGGGAGCGUAGAUGGGUUGUUAAGUCAGUUGUGAAAGUUUGCGGCUCAACCGUAAAAUUGCAGUUGAUACUGGCAGCCUUGAGUACAGUUGAGGUAGGCGGAAUUCGUGGUGUAGCGGUGAAAUGCUUAGAUAUCACGAAGAACUCCGAUUGCGAAGGCAGCCUACUAAACUGCCACUGACACUGAUGCUCGAAAGUGUGGGUAUCAAACAGGAUUAGAUACCCCAGUAGUC